AUAUCGGGUUCCGGUUAACCGGCUGUGGCAAAGAAUAACGAAUCUCUACCAAAGAAGGAGAACUGAUCAUGGGAUUGAGCAGAAACAGAGAUGUAUACAUGCACGUAUAUGUGCGGAUUCGUGGGUGUAUGACUGGGAGCAGAAGAAAGAAGGGUCUUGAGAUGCAUGGAUGCACGUUGGCGUACAAGUCAAUUCGUUAGGUGAGUCUAUACUAAUAAUUGUGUAAUAAACUUACAUGCGCAAGUUCCUUGCUUGUUGCUAUGCUCUAUUAUAUAUAUAUAUAUAUAUAUGUAUAUAUAAAUUAUAAUUUAACAGAUACAUAUAUCGGAUAUAUCAAUUUGGUGACCAAACUUAUGAUUGUUGUGUUAUUUAAUCAGCGAUCAAACAAUAAACAAAACAUGUAGUAGUUAGUUUGCCACAUAGAGAUUUCUUUCUGGCAUCUUUUAUUAAGUCCUUGUAUAUUUUAUGCUUUGAGAAGAACAUAUUUUGUUGAA